GACGAACGCUGGCGGCGUGCUUAACACAUGCAAGUCGAACGAGAGGAGAAGGAAGCUUGCUUCUUUCGAAUCUAGUGGCAAACGGGUGAGUAACACGUAAACAACCUGCCUUCAGGAUGGGGACAACAGACGGAAACGACUGCUAAUACCGAAUACGUUCCUUAGGUCGCAUGACUUUAGGAAGAAAGGGUGGCCUCUACUUGUAAGCUAUCGCCUGAAGAGGGGUUUGCGUCUGAUUAGGUAGUUGGUGGGGCAACGGCCUACCAAGGCAACGAUCAGUAGCCGGUCUGAGAGGAUGAACGGCCACAUUGGAACUGAGACACGGUCCAGACUCCUACGGGAGGCAGCAGUGGGGAAUCUUCCGCAAUGGGCGAAAGCCUGACGGAGCAACGCCGCGUGAGUGAAGAAGGUCUUCGGAUCGUAAAGCUCUGUUGUCGGGGACGAAUGUUGAGGCCUAGAACAUAGGUUUCAAAUGACGGUACCUGACGAGGAAGCCACGGCUAACUACGUGCCAG
rnacentral:rRNA from 1 species